rnacentral:rRNA from 1 species
GAUGAACGCUGGCGGCGUGCCUAAUACAUGCAAGUCGAGCGAACAGACGAGGAGCUUGCUCCUCUGACGUUAGCGGCGGACGGGUGAGUAACACGUGGAUAACCUACCUAUAAGACUGGGAUAACUUCGGGAAACCGGAGCUAAUACCGGAUAAUAUAUUGAACCGCAUGGUUCAAUAGUGAAAGACGGUUUUGCUGUCACUUAUAGAUGGAUCCGCGCCGCAUUAGCUAGUUGGUAAGGUAACGGCUUACCAAGGCGACGAUGCGUAGCCGACCUGAGAGGAUGAUCGGCCACACUGGAACUGAGACACGGUCCAGACCCCUACGGGAGGCAGCAGUAGGGAAUCUUGCGCAAUGGGCGAAAGCCUGACGGAGCAACGCCGCGUGAGUGAUGAAGGUCUUCGGAUCGUAAAACUCUGUUAUUAGGGAAGAACAAAUGUGUAAGUAACUAUGCACGUCUUGACGGUACCUAAUCAGAAAGCCACGGCUAACUACGUG